AGCAGGACCAGUCGAGGUUGAGUUUUGUGUAAACGUGUCUUUCUCUGUUCACAGACCAUGACCGAUGUGGUCGGAAACCCAGAAGAAGAGCGGAGAGCCGACUUUUACUACCAGCCGUGGGCUCAGGAGGCCGUCUGCCGCUACUUCUACUCCAAGGUCCAGCAGAGGAGACAGGAGCUGGAGACGGCGCUCGGCAUCAGGAACACCUAAACAAACGUUUCCAUGGGGGACAUCUAAUGUGUGAGCGCGCGUGGGAUGAGAAAAACAAAUUCCUCCCAGAGUCUUCUGGCAUAGAUAGUAGUUGGCUUUACCGAUAUAUAGGAUGUCUUUGUUUUUAUUUUUGGUUUAUUCUUCACCCUGCAGCACGACUUCUGUUGCGCUCUUUUUGCUACUUCCACUUUUUUGUAAUUCUUUCUUUUUUUCUCCUCACACCAGAGUUCCUGGAGCACAAUAUAUUUUGCAUGUCUCAGCCUUACCUUGAAGCAUUCCUUUCAUUUUGAUACGUUGUGCACACAACAGUACAGAUUGUACACAAAUGAAAAAGCAGAGGGUGACUUUGAUGCAUUUUGGCCCUGAUUCUAAAAUGACCCUAAAUCAGAUGGAAAGCAAACUAACAUUUGGCUCUCCCUGGCCCAUUCUAUUGGUUGUGAUUGUGUUUGUAAUCAUUUGAGCUGCUUUGCUGCUCAUUGGCUCCAUGUGUCCUUUUUCUUAAGCUCUCAUUGGUUGGUUUUGUGCCGUAGUCUGGUGUAUGAGGGAUGUUUAAAGCUAAAUCAUGGAAGAAUAUACAACUUUUGUAAAGGGUGCCAUUUAGUAUGAAGUUCUCCUUUUCUUUUCUUUUUUUGUUAUCAAUGAUUCUUGUUUUUAAAUAUGUAUUAUUAUAUCAGUAUGUGUCUUGUUAUCUAGUACAGAUUAUCAAGGAAGUAGCUAGUAUGAGUACCUCUAGUCUAUAUAGUUUUGUAAAUACUGAGCAGUAAAAAAACUGAAGAUGGAUGUGAAGUAUAAAUGUAUCUCUAAUCCUGCAGAUGUUUUUCUUAACCCUUUGUCUACGCUCAGAUAGUUGAACCAGUAUUUAUAUUAUGGAUCAGCCUCGCUCAGUGAUUGGCCUCUCCUCGACAUAAAGACGACAGUCACAUUUGACGAUUCGCUGCUCUGCGGGAUGAAAUGUAAACGGCAUUCACAUCGCCUGCAAGCUGGGAAAAGUUCAAUAUUCUGCUUUUCAGAUUUGUGUAUUUCUAAAUAUGUGCAGAGAAGCCAUGAACACGAUUUAAAGAGUCGUAGGUUUUGCGUAGGCUGGCUGAGGACUGACAACUGGUUGAGCUUAAUGGUCGUUUCCCUGUUAGAGAGGGCAGAGGAGUCCUGGCUAAAAUUUUACUGUGUGUGCAUUUAAUUAACAAUUCCAAGAAUACACUAAUGUGGGUUUGGGCAGGUACAUGAUUUGAAAUGAGCGGUGGGAACCUCUGGGAUGAAAUAAGCCACACUGGGGGAAACUGUAGUACUGUUUGAAUCUGCAGACUUUUUCAUGGACCAAACCUAUUUUUCUGUAUGUUCUUAUGUUAUAAUAAAGGAUAUUUAAAAUGUA